rnacentral:rRNA from 1 species
UACGGAGGGUGCGAGCGUUGUCCGGAAUUACUGGGCGUAAAGCGUGCGCAGGCGGCUUUGCAAGACAGAUGUGAAAUCCCCGGGCUCAACCCGGGAACUGCGUCCGAAACUGGCAGGCUCGAAUUCGGGAGAGGGAUGCGGGAAUUCCAGGUGUAGCGGUGAAAUGCGUAGAUAUCUGGAGGAACAUCGGUGGCGAAGGCGGCAUCCUGGACCGAUAUUGACGCUGAGGCGCGAAAGCCAGGGGAGCAAAGCGGG